UCUACUCUGUAGCCCGUAAGCCCAUGGCCUGAAUCAGCUAAUCCAAGCUUCCUCCGAUGCCAAUUCCAUGGCGGCGGAGGCCGGCAGCUUUUCCGAGUUGCGGUGCGGAUCCAGUAGCCAUGGCGGUGCGCUUGGUGGUGGCCUGCGCGGGAUGAUGGUGUCGUGUAGCCCUCCGCGGUGCCGUAUGCUGCUGCGCGGCGGCGGGAAUCUGCAGCUGGUUCAGUGACGUCAGCCCUUAUUGUUCAGCCUGUAGAAUUGUGAAGGAAAACAUACCAGUGCCUUGAAGGAGAUGAGAGAGCCAUUGAAGAUGCGCAUCUUGAGCCUGUCAUCAGGUAUUGAGGCCUCUACCAUGCACACAAGAGAGACCCAUUGGUUCCUGUUGACUGAAUCGCCCACAAAUACUAAUCUCUUGUUCCUCAGCUUUUCAAGCAGCUUGGUGGCAUCGAAUCUGUUUUGACAUGGCAAAUCCUGACAUCAGUCAUCAUGUCUUCCUAGUUUCCUACCGUGCAGAGGCCGUGACAUACCCUUGCAGGAUUGUACAGAUAAUAAAAUAAGAAGCAGGUAGAAGUUUUUCUCGGUUCUCAUCUUUCACUGUCAGGUGCAGUAGAUCUGAAAAGCGUGGAUGAUGAGCAGCAGCAUUCAGUGGUUGCAAGGUUGGAGAUGGGUACAAUGAUUGCUGGUUUGCAGUAGAUGAGGUGAGCGAGCCUUAGAAGGCUAGUAACAUCAGAGCUGUACACAGUCACACACACACACAGUAGCAGGAAGCAGCUAGCCUGGGUGUUGUACCAUGGGAUUCGUUCCUGCUAGUUGCUGGGCACAUGAUUCUUCAUGCAUGCACAAGCCCAAGAAGAGGGGCAUGCACUCGGUACGACCUUUAUAUGAUGGUGUACGUCCUUGAUAGAGAGAGGCAUGUAAAGAUACAGUACAUCUAACUAGAAGUGAGAUUGUUUGCAUCAA